CGGUGCGGUCAAAUCAGCGUUUUCUUAAAUUCACAUUUACAAAACGAUCUUCAUAUAGUGCGUUUUCUUAAAUUCACAUUUACAAAACGAUCUUCAUAUAGUAUAUUAGCCGUAUCGACUUAUGCAGUCGUGAUUUAUGGCAGUCUCCGGGUCCCGUGCAAUGGGAUCCCAUGAAUCUUGUCAGGUCCGAGAGGAAGCAGCAAUAAGUGGCUCUUUCCAUGUGCCACGGUGCAUCCUGGAGGCUGUCAUAAAUCACGCUUGCAUAAGUCUUUUUUAUUGCACCG
rnacentral:SRP_RNA from 1 species